AGUGCAACCGAUCUCAUCGGCCGAUGUAUGAUUCAUGUGAGAGAUAUAAAGAUGGACUGUGAAAAAUUGAUAAGUUUCGUGCAAGAAAGAAGAAGUUUGUGGGAUCCGCGAUGUGGUCAGUAUCAUAAUUGAGAUGUAGCUCGGAAGCUGUGGAUUGAGAUCGCCACUUCAUUGGAAACUACAAGUGACUGCGUUAAAACGAAAUGGCAACAUUGGAAGACACUCAUCGUCGAGAAUUCGGAAGGACCAACCUACCAACAGGUUCUGAGGAUAACGAGUCGAAAUGGAAGUUUUUCCAGCAAAUGAAUUUUUUGCAAGACACCUAUGCCUCAAGGCGUCUCGCUUCAAAUAUUCCCAGACCUCAAAAAGGCGACUCAAGCGACUUCACGAUUACCGCAAAUCAACCAGAUCUUCAGACAUCAGACACGGAAAAUGAGUCACUUGAAGGGGAUUCACAUACUGAACAGGCUGUUGAUGAAAGUACCCCCUCCGUGAUUACACAUAAACAUGCAACACCCGAAAAGCCAUUCGAAUCGCCGAAGAAGAGACAUCGAGUGAAAAAAGAUCCCAUACAUGAUCUGGUAGAGUUGGAAAAAGUCAAAGUGGCACGCUUGAAAGGAAUCAGUGCCCACAAAGAAAGGAUUAUUGAGGAAGACGAAGACUCCCACAUUUACGUGCCAUACCACAACACCAAAAAUUACUCACCCGCAUCAAAUUACAGCAGGUCCUAAUUCAAGAUCAAAGAUUGGUUCACCACUUCCCACCAUCAUUAGAUGGUUCACCAUCUUCAAGCACUCCUUCACCAAGUCCAUCAGGCUCAGGGAACUGGGGCCUCAGCAAUGUUACUGACACACAGAUGGGCAAUAUGUCCGAAGGAAUUCACACCCUUCAACAACUUGAAAAUGCUAAAAAUACCGUCUCAGAUGGUCUCACUGAAUUUUAAGUUUCAAAGAAUAACAUACAGACCUCAUCUCGGAAAAUAUUGAAAAUUGCACUAUUCGUGUUUUGGAUUCAUCUGUAUUUGUGUUAUCAAUCAUAGAAUUUAAUUUGUAACUUUGCAAUAAAAUCGUUUUCAUUCAUUGUA